GGAAGCGUCUGGAAAGGCGCGCGAUACAGGGUGACAGCCCCGUACACAAAAGCGCAUGUGCUGUGAGCUCGAUGAGUAGGGCGGGACACGUGGUAUCCUGUCUGAAUAUGGGGGGACCAUCCUCCAAGGCUAAAUACUCCUGACUGACCGAUAGUGAACCAGUACCGUGAGGGAAAGGCGAAAAGAACCCCGGCGAGGGGAGUGAAAAAGAACCUGAAACCGUGUACGUACAAGCAGUGGGAGCACAGGUUUACCUGUGUGACUGCGUACCUUUUGUAUAAUGGGUCAGCGACUUAUAUUCUGUAGCAAGGUUAACCGUAUAGGGGAGCCGUAGGGAAACCGAGUCUUAACCGGGCGUUAAGUUGCAGGGUAUAGACCCGAAACCCGGUGAUCUAGCCAUGGGCAGGUUGAAGGUUGGGUAACACUAACUGGAGGACCGAACCGACUAAUGUUGAAAAAUUAGCGGAUGACCUGUGGCUGGGGGUGAAAGGCCAAUCAAACCGGGAGAUAGCUGGUUCUCCCCGAAAGCUAUUUAGGUAGCGCCUCGUGAAUUCAUCUCCGGGGGUAGAGCACUGUUUCGGCUAGGGGGCCAUCCCGGCUUACCAACCCGAUGCAAACUGCGAAUACCGGAGAAUGUUAUCACGGGAGACACACGGCGGGUGCUAACGUCCGUCGUGAAGAGGGAAACAACCCAGACCGCCAGCUAAGGUCCCAAAGUCAUGGUUAAGUGGGAAACGAUGUGGGAAGGCCCAGACAGCCAGGAUGUUGGCUUAGAAGCAGCCAUCAUUUAAAGAAAGCGUAAUAGCUCACUGGUCGAGUCGGCCUGCGCGGAAGAUGUAACGGGGCUAAACCAUGCACCGAAGCUGCGGCAGCGACGCUGAUGCGUUGUUGGGUAGGGGAGCGUUCUGUAAGCCUGUGAAGGUGGCCUGUGAGGGUUGCUGGAGGUAUCAGAAGUGCGAAUGCUGACAUAAGUAACGAUAAAGCGGGUGAAAAGCCCGCUCGCCGGAAGACCAAGGGUUCCUGUCCAACGUUAAUCGGGGCAGGGUGAGUCGACCCCUAAGGCGAGGCCGAAAGGCGUAGUCGAUGGGAAACGGGUUAAUAUUCCCGUACUUGGUGUUACUGCGAAGGGGGGACGGAGAAGGCUAUGUUGGCCGGGCGACGGUUGUCCCGGUUUAAGCGUGUAGGUGUGUGUUCCAGGUAAAUCCGGUUCACUUUAACACUGAGGCGUGAUGACGAGGCACUACGGUGCUGAAGCAACAAAUGCCCUGCUUCCAGGAAAAGCCUCUAAGCAUCAGGUAACAUCAAAUCGUACCCCAAACCGACACAGGUGGUCAGGUAGAGAAUACCAAGGCGCUUGAGAGAACUCGGGUGAAGGAACUAGGCAAAAUGGUGCCGUAACUUCGGGAGAAGGCACGCUGACACGUAGGUGAAGUGAUUUACUCAUGGAGCUGAAGUCAGUCGAAGAUACCAGCUGGCUGCAACUGUUUAUUAAAAACACAGCACUGUGCAAACACGAAAGUGGACGUAUACGGUGUGACGCCUGCCCGGUGCCGGAAGGUUAAUUGAUGGGGUCAGCGCAAGCGAAGCUCCUGAUCGAAGCCCCGGUAAACGGCGGCCGUAACUAUAACGGUCCUAAGGUAGCGAAAUUCCUUGUCGGGUAAGUUCCGACCUGCACGAAUGGCGUAAUGAUGGCCAGGCUGUCUCCACCCGAGACUCAGUGAAAUUGAACUCGCUGUGAAGAUGCAGUGUACCCGCGGCAAGACGGAAAGACCCCGUGAACCUUUACUAUAGCUUGACACUGAACAUUGAGCCUUGAUGUGUAGGAUAGGUGGGAGGCUUUGAAGCGUGGACGCCAGUCUGCAUGGAGCCGGCCUUGAAAUACCACCCUUUAAUGUUUGAUGUUCUAACGUGGACCCGUGAUCCGGGUUGCGGACAGUGUCUGGUGGGUAGUUUGACUGGGGCGGUCUCCUCCUAAAGAGUAACGGAGGAGCACGAAGGUUGGCUAAUCCUGGUCGGACAUCAGGAGGUUAGUGCAAUGGCAUAAGCCAGCUUGACUGCGAGCGUGACGGCGCGAGCAGGUGCGAAAGCAGGUCAUAGUGAUCCGGUGGUUCUGAAUGGAAGGGCCAUCGCUCAACGGAUAAAAGGUACUCCGGGGAUAACAGGCUGAUACCGCCCAAGAGUUCAUAUCGACGGCGGUGUUUGGCACCUCGAUGUCGGCUCAUCACAUCCUGGGGCUGAAGUAGGUCCCAAGGGUAUGGCUGUUCGCCAUUUAAAGUGGUACGCGAGCUGGGUUUAGAACGUCGUGAGACAGUUCGGUCCCUAUCUGCCGUGGGCGCUGGAGAACUGAGGGGGGCUGCUCCUAGUACGAGAGGACCGGAGUGGACGCAUCACUGGUGUUCGGGUUGUCAUGCCAAUGGCACUGCCCGGUAGCUAAAUGCGGAAGAGAUAAGUGCUGAAAGCAUCUAAGCACGAAACUUGCCCCGAGAUGAGUUCUCCCUGAGACUUAGAGUCUCCUGAAGGAACGUUGAAGACGACGACGUUGAUAGGCCGGGUGUGUAAGCGCAGCGAUGCGUUGAGCUAACCGGUACUAAUGAACCGUGAGGCUUAACCUUACAACGCCGAAG
rnacentral:rRNA from 1 species